rnacentral:rRNA from 1 species
UGGGGAAUUUGGACAAUGGGCGAAGCUGAUCCAGCAAUGCCGCGUGUGUGAAGAAGGCCUUCGGGUUGUAAAGCACUUUUGUCCGGAAAGAAAUCCUUGGCUCUAAUACAGUCGGGGGAUGACGGUACCGGAAGAAUAAGCACCGGCUAACUACGUGCCAGCAGCCGCGGUAAUACGUAGGGUGCAAGCGUUAAUCGGAAUUACUGGGCGUAAAGCGUGCGCAGGCGGUUUUGCUAAGACCGAAUGUGAAAUCCCCGGGCUCAACCUGGGGAACUGCAUUGGUGACUGGCAGGCUAGAGUAUGGCAGAGGGGGGUUAGAAUUCCACGUGUAGCAGUGAAAUGCGUAGAGAUGUGGAGGAAUACCGAUGGCGAAGGCAGCCCCCUGGGCCAAUACUGACGCUCAUGCACGAAAGCGUGGGGAGCAAACAGGAUUAGAUACCCU